AAUUAUUUGUGAAAACACGAAUCAAAAGUCUUAGUACUAGUUAAUUAUACAUUUAAAUUAUGUUGAAUAUCUGUUUGACUUUGUUCAUUCUACUUUUAGUUUAAUUUCAUGGACCAGUUUAACGUGCUGUUAAUUGGAAAAGAAGCUGGGAACCAGUUAAAGCACUAAAUUUCGAGUUACCAACUUAAACCAAUUAUUCAUUUAAUCGUUUGCAGAUGAGAGUGUCUUGGGCUUUCAAACUAUACUACUCUAAAACCAUCGAGCUAGAGCUGUCAAAGCGGGUUGUCCAUGUCCAUUAGCCCAGUCCAAUAAUGUCCAUUUCGAUAUUUGACAAAUAGUGUUCAUGUCCAUUAAAGCCCAUGUCCAUUAAUGUCCAUGCCCAUUAAUGCCCAUGUCCAAAUGGGUUGUCCAAUGGGCAUAACAGAACCAAAUUUUAACACAAUAGUAUUUGCUUUAUAUUCCAAUCAAAUUAUCAAAUCGAGAAGCAAAUUUAAAUAACAAAGUAUUAGUUGAUUUAAAUAUCAAAUCCAAAAGCAAAUUUAAACACAAUUCAAGUAUUCAACAAAGUAUCAAAUCCAAAAACAAAUUAACAGCAAAUUUAAACUUCUUCCUCUUCUCCCUCGCCAUCUUUGUCUUCAUUAAGGAACUCGAUAUUAUCACCUAAGUACAACAGUGACAGAAACCCAUUAUUGAGUAAUCAAAAACAGAAACCCAAAUCGAAUUGAGUAAAAAGGAUGAGAAUUUGCUUACUUGAAUAGAUUAGGAUUCUCAGGAGGAUCCAUGAUGUGAUGGAGAUGAGUUGUUGAAGGAACUCGCCGGAGAAAUCGCCGGAGAGAAGAAAUCGCCGAAUAAGCGCCGGAGAAAUGUUUCCCGACAAAACCAAGAAAUGUUUUUUGCCCAAAUCUAUUUUUGCCCAAAUCGACUUAAACCUAAUAUUUUUGACCAUUGGGCCGCCCAUGUCCAUUACGUCCAGUCCGCUAAUGUCCAUGUCCGUUAACGCCCAUAUCCAUUAAUGUCCACUUCAUAAUGGGCUUGUCCAUGCCCGGUCCAUUAAGCGUUGGACACGGGCAGCCCACGGGCCGCCCGUCCAUUUUGACAGCUAUACAUCGAGCUUUUGGAUUGGAGACCUUAAUCAUUAUAUU
rnacentral:sRNA from 1 species